GGUCUCAUAGUUUAAAGAAAAUAAAGAAUUGCAAAUUCUAGGAUGUGCCUUGAUCGGCGCUGAGACUU
rnacentral:tRNA from 1 species